ACUCGGUGUGUUUGAACGACUAUUUUGCCAUUGCUCAGAUUGUGGUGUAUGCUCUGAUGAGCAAUAUUAGAACCAACUUCUGUGACACCGAUUGUACAAACAAAGCAGAACUUGGGGAACCCUUUUACUGAUUGAUGAAAAGCUUGAAGGGGUAAAAAAAUACAGGUGUCAUGAUGAGGAGCUUCUCAGAAACAGAAGUGGAUGAUGAGUGGAGAUGAAGAAAUCAUACAUUUGAGAAGUUGGCUCAAGUUUCCGUUACAGGCAUGGAAAGUUUCUGAGGCCAAGCCAUGCGAGAAGAACAUGAGUAAAGAAGAGGGAGAUGUAGACCCAGACUUUCUAGAAGGGAUUGCAGGAUUUGAGAGGACACUGCACAAACGUCACGUAGUUUGCUUGCUUAUUCAUUUACCUGCACCCCUGGAUUGUAAUACUUUGUUUGCAUCUGUUUGGAAGUUGAAAAAUCCCCUCGCAUCUGUGUCUUUAAUAUGAUCAUGGCUUCAAGGUUGUUUUAGGAAGAGCAGAACAUUGCUGUAGUUUUUAUUUGUGGAUUAGAUAGCUGCUGCUUUGUACUUGAAAUCAAUUUUAUUUUUUUGUAGAAACGUACAUUGAAUGUGGAGAAUAUCAGACCAUGAUUGUUACGAAAUAGGAAAUCAGGGGUUUUGCUUGCAUUUAAUAAACAGCCUUUGCAUAAAAAGUGUGACAGGUGCAUAGGUAAAAGAAAAAAAAAAGAUAGUGCUAGCCCUCUAAUUUGAGUAACCUUAUAAUGUAUUGUUCUUACACUGUCCUUAGACAGAUGUCAGAAUCAAAUAUUAAUCAGUUCAAUCUUUUUUUAUUGACUGUUGGUCACAAAAAUAUUCCAGAUAGGUAAGAUUUCUUGGUAGGGCUGUGGGCUUUUAAGUGCAGAUUACUUAGUAUUGAGUUAGGGGAGAGCUUUUUAGAAAGGUAGAUUUUUGAACAUCUUGGCUGUUACGUGAAGUAUCUCCAAGGAAAUACUAGCCACACAGUCCAGCAAGUUAUGAUGCUGUGAACAGACCUAAUCGUAGUAAGUCUCUGAUACGGAGUUACUAAGACUUUGACAUAUAUGUAUUUAAAAUUUUAAAAUUAAAUUUAAUAUCCUAUAUUGGACAGUGUUGCUGGUAGAGGCAAAGAGCAUCUUUAUUUUUCUUAUGAACUCUUAUUUGGUGUUUAUCCUUAAUAAAAGGCUAUGGUUAUUUUUGCAUACUGAAUGAAUAUUUGGCCUUUAAGAGUAUAUAAUUAGAUGGAAGACUAAAAGCAGUUGUUAAAGGACUGUUUUUCUAAUGAAAAUAGUUUGAAAUCAUAUAAUUUUAGUUUCUUCCGAAUAGAUGUGAUUAGUGUGUUGGAAAUAGUUUUACAAUGGAUAUAAAGGGAACAGUUGAGAGACAGUGGCUGAGAAUGUGUCCAGCUAUUUUUGUAGCUAACAGAUUUUUUUCAGUCUCUUUACUUAGAUAUUUCCAUAUAAUUGAAAAGCUAAAUUACAACUGGAUACAAAAACUAUUUGCACUUAUUUAUAUUUUAAAAUAGGUUAGUAAUAUUUAUAUUUUAAAAUAGGUUUUAUUGUACUAAUUGGUAAGUAAAUAGCAAUGACUGUGAGAAAAUCCUAGCCUAUAUUAUUACUUUGAUAGAAAUUUGAAUAUGGGAUAGUAUUGUCUGUAUCACAUAAAAAUGUUUUCAUGGAUUUUUAGCUGCUGAAACUGAAAUCAAUAAACUUUAGUUACUGUUGUUGACUGGA